AUGGUCCAAAGCCAUUUGAAUGUGCAGUCAACGCCGGAGAGGUUCUGUACCUGCCAAGCAUGUGGUUUCAUCAUGUACGACAGAGUUCGGAUGACGAAGGAUGCACUAUUGCCAUAAACUAUUGGUAUGAUAUGCAGUUUGAUAUGAAGUAUGCUUAUUUCAACUUCUUGCAAUCAAUUCAAUAUGGAUCAACUUUGACUCAACC
rnacentral:misc_RNA from 1 species